GAGCUAUCUCUCAAAACUGCACUUCUUCUUGCUCUUGCUUCGGCUAAGCACAUAGGGGAUUUACAUGCGUUUUCUGUGGACAGUGAUUGUAUUCGCUUUGGACCCGGUGACUCCAUCUACUCCCUUCAGAGCGCAAACUGUUUGGCUCUCUGCCCUGUCUUCUGAGUCAUCGACCUUGUGUGAUGCAGACACUCAGAUUUUGGUGUGCCCUUUCAGGGCUUUGAGGACUUACAUUGACCGUUUGGCCAGCUUACGGCAGUCUGACCAGCUUUUCGUGUGCCACUGUGGUUGUAUGAAGGGCCGGGCCGUGUCAAAACAGAGACUUUCCUACUGGAUUGUGGACGCUAUCACGGCUGCUUAUACUGUACGAGCCAAGGUUUGGAAUGCCCCUUUCACAUUAGGGCCCACACAACAAGAGCUAUCACUUCCUCAUGGGCAUGGUCAAGAGGAUAUAUGUCUUGCAGCUGACUGGUCUUCUCAGAAUACCUUUGUCAGGUUUUACAAGCUGAACGUUCAGUCCUUAGCUUCCGAAGUACUGUCGGAGCUGUUAUGUGCUAAGAUGGAAAAAAGUUUAAUGUCACUAUAAAAAGUGGCUAACUGAGGUGUAAUGGUCUGUGUAUUUAUGUCCAUUAAAAAAG
ensembl:lncRNA